rnacentral:rRNA from 1 species
GAGAACGACUCUCGGCAACGGAUAUCUCGGCUCUCGCAUCGAUGAAGAACGUAGCGAAAUGCGAUACUUGGUGUGAAUUGCAGAAUCCCGUGAACCAUCGAGUCUUUGAACGCAAGUUGCGCCCGAAGCCAUCAGGUAGAGGGCACGUCUGCCUGGGCGUCACA